rnacentral:rRNA from 1 species
GACGGAGGAUGCAAGCGUUAUCCGGAAUGAUUGGGCGUAAAGCGUCCGCAGGUGGCAGUUCAAGUCUGCUGUCAAAGACCGGGGCUUAACUUCGGAAAGGCAGUGGAAACUGAACAGCUAGAGUAUGGUAGGGGCAGAGGGAAUUCCUGGUGUAGCGGUGGAAUGCGUAGAGAUCCGGAGGAAGACCGGUGGCGAAGGCGGCCUGCUGGGCAGUUACUGACACUGAGGCGCGACAGCGUGGGGAGCAAACAGG